rfam:Lepisosteus oculatus linkage group LG21, whole genome shotgun sequence.
GAACAGGUGUUUUUAAACACCAAACAACUCUUCUAUUAUCACUUUAG